AGUGAACGCUGGCGGUAGGCCUAACACAUGCAAGUCGAACGGCAGCACAGUAAGAGCUUGCUCUUACGGGUGGCGAGUGGCGGACGGGUGAGGAAUAAAUCGGAAUCUACUUUUUCGUGGGGGAUAACGUAGGGAAACUUACGCUAAUACCGCAUACGACCUACGGGUGAAAGCAGGGGAUCUUCGGACCUUGCGCGAUUGAAUGAGCCGAUGUCGGAUUAGCUAGUUGGCGGGGUAAAGGCCCACCAAGGCGACGAUCCGUAGCUGGUCUGAGAGGAUGAUCAGCCACACUGGAACUGAGACACGGUCCAGGCUCCUACGGGAGGCAGCAGUGGGGAAUAUUGGACAAUGGGCGGAAGCCUGAUCCAGCCAUGCCGCGUGGGUGAAGAAGGCCUUCGGGUUGUAAAGCCCUUUUGUUGGGAAAGAAAAGCAGCAGGUUAAUACCCCGCUGUUCUGACGGUACCCAAAGAAUAAGCACCGGCUAACUUCGUG
rnacentral:rRNA from 1 species